UACGUAGGGUCCGAGCGUUGUCCGGAGUUACUGGGCGUAAAGCGCGCGCAGGCGGCGGUGCUGGCCCGGCGUGAAAGCCCCCGGCUCAACCGGGGGAGGGUCGUCGGGGACCGCACCGCUUGAGGGCGGUAGGGGCUGGUGGAAUGCCUGGUGUAGUGGUGAAAUGCGUAGAGAUCAGGCGGAACACCCGUGGCGAAGGCGGCCAGCUGGGCCGUCCCUGACGCUGAGGCGCGAAGGCGUGGGGAGCGA
rnacentral:rRNA from 1 species